rnacentral:rRNA from 1 species
AGUGAACGCUGGCGGUAUGCCUAACACAUGCAAGUCGAACGGCAGCACAGUAAGAUCUUGCUCUUACGGGUGGCGAGUGGCGGACGGGUGAGGAAUACAUCGGAAUCUACUUUUUCUUGGGGGAUAACGUAGGGAAACUUACGCUAAUACCUCAUACGACCUACGGGUUAAAGCAGGGGAUCUUCGGACCUUUCGCGAUUGAAUGAGCCGAUGUCGGAUUAGCUAGUUGGCGGGGUAAAGGCCCACCAAGGCGACGAUCCGUAGCUGGUCUGAGAGGAUGAUCAGCCACACUGGAACUGAGACACGGUCCAGACUCCUACGGGAGGCAGCAGUGGGGAAUAUUGGACAAUGGGCGCAAGCCUGAUCCAGCCAUACCGCGUGGGUGAAGAAGGCCUUCGGGUUGUAAAGCCCUUUUGUUGGGAAAGAAAAGCAGCAGGUUAAUACCCCGCUGUUCUGACGGUACCCAAAGAAUAAGCACCGGCUAACUUCGUG